CAAUAGCGUAUAUUAAAGUUGUUGCAGUUAAAAAGCUCGUAGUUGAAUUUUUGCUUGCCGCCGAUGUCGGAACUUCCGUACGUUCGGCGGCGUGCAUCCUUGGGUGGAACCUGUGUGGCAUUAGGUUGUCGUGCAGGGGAUGCUCAUCGUUUACUGUGAAAAAAUUAGAGUGUUCAAAGCAGGCUUACGCCGUUGAAUAUAUUAGCAUGGAAUAAUAAGAUAGGACCUUGGUACUAUUUUGUUGGUUUGCGCACCGAGGUAAUGAUUAACAGGGACAGUUGGGGGUAUUCGUAUUCCAUUGUCAGAGGUGAAAUUCUUGGAUUUUGGAAAGACGAACUACUGCGAAAGCAUUUACCAAGGAUGUUUNCAUUAA
rnacentral:rRNA from 1 species